AUUGAACGCUGGCGGCAUGCCUUACACAUGCAAGUCGAACGGCAGCACGGGGGCAACCCUGGUGGCGAGUGGCGAACGGGUGAGUAAUACAUCGGAACGUGCCCAGUCGUGGGGGAUAACGUAGCGAAAGUUACGCUAAUACCGCAUACGAUCUCUGGAUGAAAGCGGGGGACCGCAAGGCCUCGCGCGAUUGGAGCGGCCGAUGGCAGAUUAGGUAGUUGGUGGGGUAAAAGCUUACCAAGCCUCCGAUCUGUAGCUGGUCUGAGAGGACGAUCAGCCACACUGGGACUGAGACACGGCCCAGACUCCUACGGGAGGCAGCAGUGGGGAAUUUUGGACAAUGGGCGAAAGCCUGAUCCAGCAAUGCCGCGUGCAGGACGAAGGCCUUCGGGUUGUAAACUGCUUUUGUACGGAGCGAAACGGCUUCCACUAAUACUGGGGGCUAAUGACGGUACCGUAAGAAUAAGCACCGGCUAACUACGUGCCAGCAGCCGCGGUAA
rnacentral:rRNA from 1 species